GUGCCAGCAGCCGCGGUAAUACGUAGGGUGCGAGCGUUAAUCGGAAUUACUGGGCGUAAAGCGUGCGCAGGCGGUUCGGCAAGUCUGAUGUGAAAGCCCCGGGCUCAACCUGGGAAUGGCAUUGGAAACUAGCGGGCUAGAGUUGGGCAGAGGGGGGUGGAAUUCCUGGUGUAGCAGUGAAAUGCGUAGAGAUCAGGAGGAACACCGAUGGCGAAGGCAGCCCCCUGGGCUACAACUGACGCUCAGGCACGAAAGCGUGGGGAGCAAACAGGAUUAGAUACCCCUGUAGUCC
rnacentral:rRNA from 1 species